GCAAGACGGCAAAGGAGCCUCUCCAAUCUGGAAGUCGAAAGUUCUGGGCGAGGUCGACUUUUUCCGCUGACUAGGACUCAAAGGAUUGAAAUGGAUAUCAAGCUGCCCAAACGCAGAAGGAAAUAAACGUACUCGACUGCCACUGAGUAUCUUAGAGGCCUCUGGAAGGUGCCAGCAUUAGACUAAUACAUCGUAGUCGUGGAUAAAGCGCUCUCUUUCUCUCUUCUCUCUCUCCUUUUAUUCCUUUCCUCUUUUCUCUCUUUACCCCUCCCACUUACUCUCCUCUCGCUUUCUCCUUUGUGCUUUGUAAUUGAUUAGUUUUUGUUGAGAAAAAUAAAGCCUCUAGUUGCU